GCCCGAUUAGCUCAGCCGGUUAGAGCGUCGUACUAAUAGUAUUCUCCACGCUUUACUCUCUAUGGAGUAAAGGAGGUACCAUACAGUCAUGCGAAGGUCAACAGUUCAAUCCUGUUAUUGGGCA